AUGAUGUCCGGACUCGAGGUGAAUUUUCAAAAAAGUGAGAUCCUCACGGUGGGUGGAGAUGACGGUGUUGUUAGAGAAUAUGCUGAAUUAUUUAACUGUGAUACUGGGAGUUUCCAUGUUAAGUACUUAGGGAUGCCUGUGAGCUACACCAAUCUUCGCAAUCUGAUUGGGAAUUCAGUGUGGUUAAGUAUCUUAAGAGAUUCGAAGCCUGGAUUGGCAAUGCUGCAUCCAUGGGGGGCAGGCUUACUCUACUUGACUCAGUGCUUACUCAACUAUCCAUCUUUCACAUGUCUAUGUGGCUCAUGA
rnacentral:rRNA from 1 species